GACAGAGGUGCCGAGCGUUAGGCGGAAUCACUGGGCUUAAAGCGUGUGUAGGCGGACCGUUAAGUACCUUGUGAAAUCCCCCGGCUCAACCGGGGAACGGCUGGGUAUACUGGCGGUCUUGAGCCAUCCAGGGGCAGUCGGAACAGACGGUGGAGCGGUGAAAUGCGUAGAUAUCGUCUGGAACGCCAAUGGUGAAAACAGGUUGCUGGGAGUGUGCUGACGCUGAGACACGAAAGCCAGGGGAGCAAACGGGG
rnacentral:rRNA from 1 species